UACAGAGGAGGCAAGCGUUGUUCGGAAUCACUGGGCUUAAAGCGUACGUAGGCGGGAUGGUAGGUGCUUUGUGAAAUCCCUCGGCUCAACCGAGGAACUGCUUGGCAAACCACCAUUCUUGAGGUCAGUAGGGGUAUCCGGAACCUUGCGUGGAGCGGUGAAAUGCGUUGAUAUGCAAGGGAACGCCGAUGGCGAAAGCGGGAUACUGGACUGAAUCUGACGCUGAGGUACGAAAGCGUGGGGAGCAAACAGG
rnacentral:rRNA from 1 species